rnacentral:rRNA from 1 species
GAUGAACGCUGGCGGCGUGCCUAAUACAUGCAAGUCGAGCGAACAGAUGAGGAUCUUGCUCCUCUGACGUUAGCGGCGGACGGGUGAGUAACACGUGGAUAACCUACCUAUAAGACUGGGAUAACUUCGGGAAACCGGAUCUAAUACCGGAUAAGAUAUUGAACCGCAUGGUUCAAUAGUGAAAGACGGUUUUGCUGUCACUUAUAGAUAGAUCCACGCCGCAUUAGCUAGUUGGUAAGGUAACGGCUUACCAAGGCAACGAUGCGUAGCCGACCUGAGAGGGUGAUCGGCCACACUGGAACUGAGACACGGUCCAGACUCCUACGGGAGGCAGCAGUAGGGAAUCUUCCGCAAUGGGCGAAAGCCUGACGGAGCAACGCCGCGUGAGUGAUGAAGGUCUUCGGAUCGUAAAACUCUGUUAUUAGGGAAGAACAAAUGUGUAAGUAACUAUGCACGUCUUGACGGUACCUAAUGAGAAAGCCACGGCUAACUACGUG